GGACGAACGGCUGGCGGCGUGCCUAAUACAUGCAAGUCGAACGGUCUUUCUAUGGAAGCUUGCUUCCACUGAGAAGAUAGUGGCGAACGGGUGAGUAACACGUGGGUAACCUGCCCAUAAGAGGGGGAUAACAUCCGGAAACGGGUGCUAAUACCGCAUAGUUUUCUUGAUCGCAUGAUCGGGAAAGGAAAGACGGCCUUUGUGCUGUCGCUUAUGGAUGGACCCGCGGCGUAUUAGUUAGUUGGUGAGGUAACGGCUCACCAAGACGAUGAUACGUAGCCGACCUGAGAGGGUGAUCGGCCACAUUGGGACUGAGACACGGCCCAAACUCCUACGGGAGGCAGCAGUAGGGAAUCUUCCGCAAUGGACGAAAGUCUGACGGAGCAACGCCGCGUGAGUGAAGAAAGGUUUUCGGAUCGUAAAACUCUGUUGUCAGAGAAGAACAAGUUGGAGAGUAACUGCUCCAGCCUUGACGGUAUCUGACCAGAAAGCCACGGCUAACUACGUGCCAGCCGCUGC
rnacentral:rRNA from 1 species